GCUAACAUUGUACAGGUAGAGGCUUGUUCCUUGGGACUGGAGAUUUUGAAUAUUGUGGUUUGGGUACCAGAGCGAGUAAUAGCUUGCACUGCCAACACAGUGUUACAUCCUGAUAAGCAGACUACAGCCAGUUAUGCUGGAGUGCGCUGAAGUCACAUAGGUUGCUGCUGUUUGCUUAAACAUCUGAGCCUGGAAACACAACCCACAUGAUAUGAGUCUAGUGUUCUCACUUUCCCUUCAUAAUUCUUCAGCUUAAUUUUAGGAAAUCUCAAGUGAGAGGACCAUAAGGGAAAGAGGACAGAAAGGAAGAGAAGCAAGACAGCAAGGGGGAGUCAGGACAAGAACUCAAACUGGACAGAAACCUGGUGGCAAGAGCUGAUGCAGAGACCAUAGAGGAGGACCAAGCUUACUAGCUUGCUCAUCAUGUCUUGAUCAGCUUUCUUAUGGAAUCCCGGAUCACCAACUGAGUGACUUCAACUGCAGUGGACUGGGCUCUCUCACAACAAUCACUAAUGAAGAAAAUGCUCUACAAGCUUGCCUGCACCUCAAUCUUAUGAAGUUGUUUUUUUUUUUCUCAAUUGGGUUUCUCUCCUCUCAGAUGACUCUAGCCUGUGUCAAGUUGACAUAAAAUUAGCCACCAUAGACAUGAUUGACUAAUAAUUUGGCUGACUGAAAUUACAUGGAUACAUUAUAGUUAAUAAGUAGAAAACACAUUUUCCUCUUAAGUAUACAAGGACAUUAAAAAAAAAAGUCCUGACCAGCAACGUAAGACUCAACAUGUUUUCAAGGAGAGAAAUGACAGAUACUAUGCUCUCUGGAACAGUGCAAGUAAUCUAAAAACCAAUAGAAAAACAUAAUUAGAAAACCCUUAUUGAUUUAGAAAUUAAGAAAGCUGCUGCAACAUAAGCUAUCAGUUGGAGGACAAAUCAAAGAAAAAAAUUAAAAAGCCAACCUGAAAGACUGAAAUUAAUCUUUCACAUCCAUACAAUGGAAGAGCAUGCAGUGAAGACUUAUAGCAGUUGAUAAUUAUAUUUGAAACAUCUAAAAAAUAAUGAGGCAAGCAUUUAUCUGGGAAAUCACAAUAAAAGCCAUAUAAUCUUAAAGGAAAUAAAAAUCAAACCAGAAAGUAGCUCUAGAAACGACACGAAAAAUAAAGAAAAUAUACAAAGCCAGGAAGGUUGGUUUGUUAAAAGUCAAUAAAACUGAGAGACUUCAAACCAAAAUGCUAAGAAGCAAAGAUGGGUAUCAUAGAAGUGAUGGACACUUAGCAAGUGUCACAAAGGUUUCAGAAUGUGAUCAGUGGCUAAGUUACUAACUUGUUUGGAUGGGUUAGGAAGAAAUUUGUGUAAAGAGAAAAGGCCCAGAGAGCUUAUAAACCAUUGACAGAUCGAAGUCACAAGUCACAAACCUAAGGAAAAUGUUGGUCGGUUCCCCUCAGCUCUAAUGAAGACAAUUUUAAUUUCCCAAGAUUCUUUUCUACAAAAGAACAACAAAAGAAUGAAUAGCCUCAAUAUUCCACACUGUGACUCAUACAUGCUUCUCAUCCUCCUCCACCAUAUAAUAGCUCUUUCUAAACACAGCCAUCGACACAGAAAAUACAGACAAGCUGCUGCCAUUCUUGUCUGAUACCAGAUACAUGUGAUGUGCUUUGUAUUUCUAUUCCUAUUGGCUAACAGAGCUUCAAGAAACACUAGGAAGUACGGCCUUAUAUGGAGAGGAGUUAAGGAUAGUGUAAAACAAACAUGACAUCUUUAGGACACCCCACUCACAUGCAAUGACCAAGCAUAAUUCUUAUGUAUAUUUUAUAAAUAUAAUAAUAAAAUUAUUAACCAAUCUACCUCAUAGGUACAGAAAUUCUAGGCAGAUUGUUAUAAAACAGUCUAGCAACAUAGAAAAAGACUAGGCAUGAGGACCUUGUAGUUUUACUCUGAGAAGGCAAGAUAGUUUAAAGAUAGAUUUAUAAUUCCAAUUCAUGUAAUUAGCCAUAUUAACACAUCUAAUAUUUCAUUUUUUGAGUUUAUAUGGCUUUCAUUGUGGUUUUUCUAGAUAUAUAGUUGUCAAAUAACAUGUUACUAUAUCAAGAGAAGGCUUAUGACAAAUACAAUCUAUUUGUAGAAAACCAGAGAUGCAAAGAGAAACAUGUGACUCCCAAAAGGUCUAUGGACAGAAACAGCAGAUCCGGGGCUUUCUGCUGAAGUAGCCUAUGUUUCUCUUUUGAAUGAGAAACAAGGGAGUUCCUCCUCCUACCCAAGUUGCUGUUUCAACAUGAAGCCAGAGUCCAGUCAGAGGUGGAAGGCAGAGGAAAAGGUAACAGAUGAAAACAGCUCCCACCACUGGAGGAAAUAAAAAGAUACCCAAGAAGAUGUUCAAAUCUAUCUGGGAGAGUCUUCCAGGUUUCUGGGUACACAUUGAACAUGUCAACUGGAACCUACAAGUUAGAGCCCACAGAAGAUAUUUUGAAGAUAUGGACCUCCUAGAUAAGAGCUGAUCACUAUGACAUGUGUUAUUACCCUCAUCAAGAUUUUAAGGAAGCUCUCGAUAGUUCUUGGCAGACACCAUCUCUUAUGGAAGAAAUUUAUAGGAGACUCAAAAAUAUACAUAAUCUCCUCUGUAUAAUGUGGAAAAUCACAAGUAAACAUAGUUUAUCGCC